rnacentral:rRNA from 1 species
GGCUUUUUGUAUUUAAUAUAAAGUUUAACCUGCCCAUUGAUAAAUAUUAAAAGGCUGCAGUAUUUUAACUGUACAAAGGUAGCAUAAUCAUUAGUUUUUUAAUUGAAAACUUGUAUGAAUGGUUGAAUGAGAUAUUAACUGUUUUAAAUAAAAUAUUUGAAUUUUACUUUUUAAUUAAAAGGUUAAAAUAAGUUUAAAAGACGAGAAGACCCUAUAGAGUUUUAUAUAUAAUUUUAUAAAAUUGAUUAAGUUAAAUAUUUAUUAAAUAUAAUUAUAUAUUUUAUUGGGGUGAUGAUAAAAUUUUAUAAACUUUUAUUUUUAUUUACAUUAAUUUAUGAUUAGUUGAUCCAAAAAUAAUGAUUAUAAGAUUAAAUUACCUUAGGGAUAACAGCGUUAUUUUUUUUUAAGUUCAUAUUAAUAAAAAAGUUUGCGACCUCGAUGUUGGAUUAAGAUUUAUUUUAGGUGCAGAAGUUUAAAAUUUAAGUCUGUUCGACUUUUAAAUUCUU